GGUGAGAUGGCCGAGCGGUCUAAGGCGCCAGACUAAGGUUGAUCGAUUGAUCGAUCGGUAGACCAAAUCACGUGGUGAUUAUGUAAUAUCUGGUCUUUCGGGGCGUGGGUUCGAAUCCCACUCUCAUCA